CACUUUUUCUUCGUUACUACAGCAAUAAAAUAACAAUACAAUUUUAUAUUAUUUUCUAACGGCUUGAUCCUGGUGUGAGAGAAUUGAUUCAGAAUGUCUAUAAGAAGAAUCUAAAAGAACAUAAAAUCUUGAACAAAUUUUGACAAAGAUGAGGAAGAAGAAACGUGAAUGAAUCUUGAGGAGAAUGAUGAAGAAAAAUAUUUAAAAAUCUUAAAGAAAACAAUGAAGAAGCAUCAAUGAAUCUCGAAGAAGUUGAUAAAUAAAUCUUGAAUAAGAAAAAACUUGAAUGCAUCACAAAGAAAAAAGAAGAUAAAGGAAUUUGAAUGAAUCUUAAAGAAGAUAUAAAAAAAAAACUUGAAUGAGCCCAUUAGUGGCCGAGUAGAUAAAACCACCGGACACUAGUAGUUGAUCGCGGGUUUGCGCCUGACCAACUGCUGACCACAUGGAGUUUUUCAGGUUUUAUUCACAUGUCUAAAUACGGGCCCAGUUUCCCCAUAGAAAGUACUCCCAGGAGGCAUCCCUCUUAACAGAUUGUGUUGCUCUGUGUUGUACUCAUGUGUGGCGUUACCAUAUCCCAUUAAACCAAAUCAAAAUAUUAAAAAACACAAAUAAUAUUGAGAAACUUGAACGAAUCUCGAAGAAAAAAUAUGAGUGAAAAGAUGAAGAUCUUUUUCCGCUUUUAACAAAAGAACAGAAGAAAAAUCUGGAUCAACUCAACUUUCAGAAAGAAUUAUACCAAACUCUUUUGUACAGGUUCCUUGAAAACUCUUGAUAACAG